rnacentral:rRNA from 1 species
GAUGAACGCUAGCGGCAGGCCUAAUACAUGCAAGUCGGACGGGAUUGAGGAGCUUGCUCCUCAUGAGAGUGGCGCACGGGUGCGUAACACGUAUGUAACCUACCUUAAUCAGGGGGAUAGCCUCUCGAAAGAGAGAUUAACACCGCAUAAAAUCACACUAUGGCAUCAUAGAAUGAUCAAAUAUUUAUAGGAUUAAGAUGGGCAUGCGCAACAUUAGCUAGUUGGUAAGGUAACGGCUUACCAAGGCUACGAUGUUUAGGGGAUCUGAGAGGAUGGCCCGCCGCACUGGUACUGGGACACGGACCAGACUCCUACGGGAGGCAGCAGUAAGGAAUAUUGGUCAAUGGGCGGAAGCCUGAACCAGCCAUGCCGCGUGCAGGAAGACGGCCCUACGGGUUGUAAACUGCUUUUAUACGGGAAUAAACCUACUUACGUGUAAGUAGCUGAAUGUACUGUAAGAAUAAGGAUCGGCUAACUCCGUGCCAGCCGCCGCCGUAACAC